rnacentral:rRNA from 1 species
UACGAGUGCCCCAAGCGUUAUCCGGAAUUAUUGGGCGUAAAGGGUGUGUAGGCGGUUCUUUUAAGUUUGGUGUGAAAUCUCCCGGCUCAACCGGGAGGGUGCGCCGAAUACUGAGGGACUAGAGUAUGGGAUGGGAAAGUGGAAUUCCUGGUGUAGCGGUGAAAUGCGUAGAUAUCAGGAGGAACACCUGUGGUGUAGACGGCUUUCUGGACCAUAACUGACGCUGAGACACGAAAGCGUGGGUAGCAAACAGG